rnacentral:piRNA from 1 species
AGUGUGCCUUAAUUGAAAAUGAGUAG